UACGUAGGGUGCAAGCGUUAAUCGGAAUUACUGGGCGUAAAGCGUGCGCAGGCGGUGAUGUAAGACAGAUGUGAAAUCCCCGGGCUCAACCUGGGAACUGCAUUUGUGACUGCAUCGCUGGAGUGCGGCAGAGGGGGAUGGAAUUCCGCGUGUAGCAGUGAAAUGCGUAGAUAUCUGGAGGAACACCGGUGGCGAAGGCGACGUCCUGGACCGGCAUUGACGCUGAGGCGCGAAAGCCAGGGGAGCAAACGGG
rnacentral:rRNA from 1 species